UACGUAGGGUGCGAGCGUUGUCCGGAAUUAUUGGGCGUAAAGAGCUCGUAGGCGGUGUGUCGCGUCGGCCGUGAAAACCUGGGGCUUAACUCUGGGCGUGCGGUCGAUACGGGCAUCACUAGAGUUCGGCAGGGGAGACUGGAAUUCCUGGUGUAGCGGUGAAAUGCGCAGAUAUCAGGAGGAACACCGGUGGCGAAGGCGGCUCUCUGGGACGGUACUGGACGCUGAGACGCGAAAAGCGUGGGGAGCGAACAGG
rnacentral:rRNA from 1 species